rnacentral:sRNA from 1 species
UGAUCCCCUUAACUAGUGCAAAUUUAAUAUUUGGAUAGCUAUUUUCUCCACGUAUGUGGAGG